GUGCUCACUUCGGCAGCACGUGUAUUAAAAUUGGGCCAAUACAGAGAAGACUGGCCCCUGCGCAAGGAUGACACGCAAAUUCCUGAAGCAUUCUAUAUAUAU